rnacentral:rRNA from 1 species
AGCGAACGCUGGCGGCGUGCCUAACACAUGCAAGUCGAACGUGAAAGGGAGCAAUCCCAAGUAAAGUGGCGUACGGGUGAGUAACACGUAGGUAAUCUACCCCAGAAUCUGGAAUAACCGGCCGAAAGGCUGGCUAAUACUGGAUAGAGCGACGGGAUCCGUAAUUGGGUUUUUCGGGAAAGGGAGCCUGUAAAAAGGCCUUCGUUCUGGGAUGAGCCUGCGUCCCAUCAGCUAGUUGGUGAGGUAAAAGCUUACCAAGGCAAUGACGGGUAGCUGGUCGGAGAGGACGAUCAGCCACACUGGAACUGAAACACGGUCCAGACUCCUACGGGAGACAGCAGUGGGGAAUCUUGCGCAAUGGACGAAAGUCUGACGCAGCAACGCCGCGUGAGUGAAGAAGGCCGUCGGGUUGUAAAGCUCUGUCGAGUGGGACGAAAAUGCUUGGAGUUCACAGCUCCAGGAACUGACGGUACCUCUAAAGGAAGCACCGGCUAACUCCGUG